UGGAGUCAUUCUGGAAGCCGUAAUGCCUCUUCAACUUGGUUAGGCUCACAGUGCCAGGAGAAGACAGAUGAUCUAUGCCUGUGCCUGGUAUCAUUGCAAGCUAAUGUGCUACUUCUGUAGUCUUGGGUUGCCAUCCCCUGGAGUGUUUUGAUGUGAUCAGUUGUCAGUUUCAGGUCUGUUGUUUCUCUCACCAGAAGCCCAGCCGGUGGAAGAUGACAGCCCCAAAGCCUUGCCUGUGUUAGGGGAGCUAUCGAACUCAGAUAAUGACAUAAACGAGUCGGUGUUCAUCUGGGGAAUCUCAGACAAAGCAGCCCAGAGGAAAACCAUCUCUGUCGAUGAAGGUUCGUUUCACUUGCAACAGAAAAAGCAGCAGCAGCAGCAGCAGCAGCAGCAGCCGCCGCCGCCGCCACGACUGGAGCCCGUGCACAGGCUGGGGAGAGGUAGAGGGAGGCUGAAGCUGCCACAUUCUCUGCCACAUGACCAUGCCAUCUGUGGGGCCACUGGUUUACUAGAAAAAUCUAACUCAAGGUUGCAAGACAGCAAUGAGGGAGCCUGGAGGAAUGCUUUGCCUAAUAGGUCUAUGAGUGAACAUAUUGGACCAGUCAUAUUCUUCCCCUUGGAGAGUUUGAAGCAAAGGCACAAAGAAGAGGAUAUUAGUUGUGAGAAGAUGCAAAAGAAAGCAACAUGAAGAACCCACGAGACAGUGGGAAAUACAAACAUCUAGAAUUAUAAGCUACAAAGGCUUUAGGUAAGCUGAAGCUAUCAGGUAAAGAAAGUAUACAUAUGCUUUUAAAAAUAAAUUCGUUA
rnacentral:lncRNA from 12 species